rnacentral:rRNA from 1 species
UACGAAGGGGGCUAGCGUUGCUCGGAAUCACUGGGCGUAAAGGGCGCGUUAGGCGGACUCUUAAGUCGGGGGUGAAGCCCAGGGCUCAACCCUGGAAUUGCCUUCGAUACUGAGAGUCUUGAGUUCGGAAGAGUUGGUGGAACUGCGAGUGUAGAGGUGAAUUCGUAGAUAUUCGCAAGAACACCAGUGGCGAAGGCGGCCAACUGGUCCGAUACUGACGCUGAGGCGGCGAAAG